CCCUCCCUAGCCCACCUGCCCCUGCGCAGGCCAGCCAUCGGAUCGACCCGUCGCCGUCCUCCCACGCGUGGCCGGCGUCGGAUCCGCGCGUCGCCGUUCCUGCCAACCACCGGGUCGAGGGGGUGCUGGAUCUGCCCCAUCGCCGUCCUCCCGCGUCUUCCCGAAGACGGAUGCGCCUAGCGGGGCCGGUGAGCUCGGGGGUCGCCGGUGGCUCUCUCCUCCCCGUUCCUCUACCUCCUCCCUCCCAUCCCGCUGCAUCCAGCCCGGGCUUCUUCCUCUCCGACCACGGCCCAAAGUCCCUGAUCCCGCCUCUGCUCCCCUCCCCCGCUCAACCACAGCCCCCCUCGUCUUCUCCGGUUGCCGUGGAAGACGAGCUGAAAGUCGGGGCCUAGCAGGCGACCACGAUGUGCCGGAGCUCACCCCCGUGAACAGGCCCCAGAGAGGUCGUCUCGUUCAUCUAUGCAGUCCGCCGACACACAAUUUUGUUUGUGCGGCCAAGAGGUCCUGGGAGGGCCGCCCCCAGCACAAGCAACCAAAAAUAUGGGGAGAGGGAUGCGCUUCCGCUUGGACGUUGGCGACCUCUAGCUUGCGGGGAAGCUCCGGCUAGCGCGGACAACAUGGCUCCUAUGGAGAUGUCGAAUGCCAUGGCUCCACUCGGCCGGAGUUUGCUGCAGCCCACAUCUUCAGCGGGGGCAGCUCACGGCCCACCGGCGUGCAGUUUCGACAGCGGUUGCUUGCAUAUUGUUUCUGCUAUUUUAUUUUCCAGAGAUCCCAUUUGUUGUCUGGACCCCUUUUCAUCUUGGUGCAGUUAGCUUCGCUGGUGGUGUGCAGUGUCGACCAACAGCUCCCUCACCUCCCCACUCGUCCUCUUUUGCAUGGAUCCAGUGGUUGCGCACCUCCCCAGCGAGCCCUGCUUCCUCGCGACAAGCUCCGGUGUCAUCCCGUCCGUGCUCCUGCCCCCCUCCCCCUCCCUUUCCAUCGAGCUGGGCAGCGCUUUCCGCAUUCAUGUGGGAUCCGGCGAGUUCCGUAUCACUUGCAGCUCUCUUCGCCAAUCUGUGCAGUUGGCAUGUUUCGCCUGAUGGAGUUCCUGCCGCCGAGUCAGCCAAGGCGACCGUCCCUGCACGUGCCUCUACCUCGCACCGUCGCGGCCGUCCCCCGCCUUUCACUACUUCGGCGAUGACGCGGACCUGUUGGUCAUGCUGCGGUUCACUCAUGGUCAGUUAGAGGUCCACUUGCCGCCCCUGCUCGCGUUUCACUUCCUUCCUUAAAAGAGCCAACUUCGAUCUCCAACGCCAGCAUGGGGUCUGCACUGCAUGGGUGUGGCCGGAGGGGGAAUGGACGUGCUAUCCAUGGCGUGUUGUAGUACAUUAUUUCAGAAUUUGAUGUGCCUUUUUCAGUGCAGUGCAGUGCACUUCAGGUGCAGCUCACUGAUUUUCUGGUGUGCAGUUACUCAAGGUCGUCCGCAUCAGCUGAGGUGGGGCCUCCGACGAGAAGCUCCCAUGGUGGAUCUGAAUUAUGGUGUGUCGUGUGCAGUUGCUGGUUACCUGUAGCGCGAUUCAGUAGUGAGAGCGUUGCAAACUUGCAUUACUGUAUCCCUUUAGGAAAAGAGUUUCUGCAGUUAGUCGGUUCCUGUA